rnacentral:rRNA from 1 species
GAUGAACGCUAGCGGCAGGCCUAAUACAUGCAAGUCGAGGGGCAGCGGGGUAGCAAUACUGCCGGCGACCGGCGCACGGGUGCGUAACACGUAUGCAACCUACCUUAAACUGGGAGAUAGCCCGGGGAAACUCGGAUUAAUACCCCAUAAUACAUUUGGUUCACAUGAAUUGAUUGUUAAAGAUUUAUCGGUUUAAGAUGGGCAUGCGUUCGAAUAGCUAGUUGGUAAGGUAACGGCUUACCAAGGCUACGAUCGAUAGGGGGUCUGAGAGGAUUAUCCCCCACACUGGGACUGAGAUACGGAACAGACUCCUACGGGAGGCAGCAGUAGGGAAUAUUGGUCAAUGGAGGCAACUCUGAACCAGCCAUGCCGCGUGUAGGAAGAAGGCGUUCUGCGUUGUAAACUACUUUUGAUUGGGAACAAAUGACUCUUGCGAGAGUAGCUGAGUGUACCAAUAGAAUAAGCCACGGCUAACUACGUGCCAGCCGCCGCAGUAA